rnacentral:rRNA from 1 species
UACGAAGGGGGCUAGCGUUGCUCGGAAUCACUGGGCGUAAAGCGCACGUAGGCGGAUUGCUAAGUCAGGGGGGAAAUCCUGGAGCUCAACUCCAGAACUGCCUUUGAUACUGGCAAUCUUGAGUCCGGAAGAGGUGAGUGGAACUCCUAGUGUAGAGGUGGAAUUCGUAGAUAUUAGGAAGAACACCAGUGGCGAAGGCGGCUCACUGGUCCGGUACUGACGCUGAGGUGCGAAAGCGUGGGGAGCAAACAGG